rnacentral:rRNA from 1 species
CAAUAGCGUAUAUUAAAGCUGUUGCGGUUAAAAAGCUCGUAGUUGGAUUUCUGUCAAGGACAACUGGUCCGCCCUCCGGGUGAGCACAUAGUUUGGUCUUGGCAUCUUGCUGGAAACUGUUGCUGCGCUUGGUUGUGUGGUGCAGCUUUCAGCACUUUCACUUUGAGGAAAUUGGAGUGUUUCAAGCAGGCACAUGCCUUUGGACACAGUAGCAUGGAAUAAUUAGAUUGGGCUUUUGCUCCAACUUGUUGGUUCCUGGAGCUGAGGUGAGAAUCAAUGGGGAUUGUUGGGGGCAUCCGAAUUUAGCCGUCAGAGGUGAAAUUCUUGGAUCUGCUAAAGACGGACAACGGCGAAAGCGUUUGCCCAGGAUGUUUUCAUUGA